UGAGAUGUGGCUGAUAACAGUAUUAUGGGUGAGACUCUGUGAUUGCUCAAUCUCAAAGUAAACGCCCGGACAAUCCCUGG
rnacentral:snoRNA from 15 species